rnacentral:rRNA from 1 species
GAUGAACGCUGGCGGCGUGCCUAAUACAUGCAAGUCGAGCGAACAGAUGAGGAGCUUGCUCCUCUGACGUUAGCGGCGGACGGGUGAGUAACACGUGGAGAACCUACCUAUAAGACUGGGAUAACUUCGGGAAACCGGAGCUAAUACCGGAUAAUAUAUUGAACCGCAUGGUUCAAUAGUGAAAGACGGUUUUGCUGUCACUUAUAGAUGGAUCCGUGCCGCAUUAGCUAGUUGGUAAGGUAACGGCUUACCAAGGCAACGAUGCGUAGGCGACCUGAGAGGGUGAUCGGCCACACUGGAACUGAGACACGGUCCAGACUCCUACGGGAGGCAGCAGUAGGGAAUCUUCCGCAAAGGGCGAAAGCUUGACGGAGCAACGCCGCGUGAGUGAUGAAGGUCUUCGGAUCGUAAAACUCUGUUAUUAGGGAAGAACAAAUGUGUAAGUAACUAUGCACGUCUUGACGGUACCUAAUCAGAAAGCCACGGCUAACUACGUG